GGGUCGUUAGCUCAGCGGUAGAGCACUCGGCUUUUAACCGAUUGGUCCUGGGUUCGAAUCCCAGACGACCCA
rnacentral:tRNA from 1 species